UACGGGGGGGGCAAGCGUUGUUCGGAAUUACUGGGCGUAAAGGGCGCGUAGGCGGCCUGCUAAGUCGGACGUGAAAUCCCUCGGCUCAACCGAGGAACUGCGUCCGAUACUGGUGGGCUUGAAUCCGGGAGAGGGAUGCGGAAUUCCAGGUGUAGCGGUGAAAUGCGUAGAUAUCUGGAGGAACACCGGUGGCGAAGGCGGCAUCCUGGACCGGCAUUGACGCUGAGGCGCGAAAGCCAGGGGAGCAAACGGG
rnacentral:rRNA from 1 species